GACGAACGCUGGCGGCGUGCUUAACACAUGCAAGUCGAACGGAAAGGCCCUGCUCUUGUGGGGUGCUCGAGUGGCGCACGGGUGAGUAUCACGUGAGUAAACCCCCCCUGUCUUUGGGAUAACUUCAGGAAACUGGGGCUAAUAUCGGAUAGGAUAUCUUGCUGCAUGGUGGGGGUUGGUAAGUUGCGGCGGUUGUGGAUGGUCUCGCGGGUUAUCAGCUUGUUGGUGGGGUAGUGGCUUACCAAGGCUUUGGCGGGUAGCCGGCCUGAGAGGGUGACCGGCGACAUUGGGACUGAGAGACGGCCCAGACUCGUACGGGAGGCAGCAGGGGGGAAUAUUGCACAAUGGGCGCAAGCGUGAUGCAGCAACCCCGCGUGCGGGAAGACGGCCUUCGGGUUGAAAACCAAUUUCGCCGGUGACGAAGCGUGAGUGACGGUAAUGAGUAAAGAAGCACCGGCUAACUACGUG
rnacentral:rRNA from 1 species